CCCUUAGACGUUCUGGGCCGUACGCGCGCUACACUGACCAGUGCAACAAGCAUCCGUCCUUGGCCGACAGGCCCGGGCAAUCUUUGAACGCUGGUCGUGAUGGGGAUAGACUUUUGCAAUUUUUGGUCUUCAACGAGGAAUUCCUAGUAAACGCAAGUCAUCAACUUGCAUUGAUUACGUCCCUGCCCUUUGUACACACCGCCCGUCGCACCUACCGAUUGAAUGGUCCGGUGAAGCCUCCGGAUUGGCGCGCACCUCGGUGCCGCCGAGAAGUUGGCUAAACCUUACCAUUUAGAGGAAGGUGAANUCGUANCA
rnacentral:rRNA from 1 species